UCUUGUCGAGUUCGCAAAAUAAACUUAAGAAUGGUACCAGGUGGCAACGAGCGGCAUGAUAUAUCACUAUUUUCCCGGCAUCUCGAAUUCUUUGAUUUGUCCUUUUUCACUCGUCGUUCCUUGUCGCACCCGCGACGAAAAGAAAUCUCCAUGGAUCUUUGCGAAUUUUUAAUCUCUUACCCUAAAGGUUUUCAAGGUUUCCGUUGCCAAGUGUUGAAAGCGACGAUGUAGAUCCUCGGACAGCAAUGGCGAGCUGGUUUAGGAAAUAUGCAAGGCGCUCGUUCUGUGUCUUUUAAGGGAAAAGGUUUUAACGGGAUUCACUUGUUCUAGGUGCCCCCGUGCGAGAUCUUCGAAAGAGGUCGAACAAGCUGAGAAGGGUUGCGAGGGGCAAGCAAUGAGUCGAUCUGAUCGCUCACGUAGCCGAUACUGGCUUCCUGCACCUUUCGGUGACGUGAGCAGUGAGAGCUCCUACCGCUCGCGGAGCAGAGCAACCGCAAGUACGGAAGCCAAUCCACAUUAAGAAGAGGCGACCUGAACAUAUUUACAGGGACAUCGAUCUCAAUCAACGUGAGCAUAAUCUUACCUUUUGGCACCGAAGGAAAGACUGCCUUAAAAUCCAACGCAACUAGUGUUCACUCGACGUCGGCUACAGUGUCCUACACACCGUUUCUGUGGGACGUAUUUUUAGGAGAACUGGCAACGUCUACGAUUUACCGCCACUUUUCGACCCUGGUAACUUUCGACUCACGAACAUCGAAGAGCAGAGCUGACAUUAACAUAACUAUUGCUGAUCCUGAGGUAGAAAUGAGCGCACUGUUUUCCUAACAAUUUCUUGUCUUCUU